AGUAUAGCAGGAUAGAGAGAGAAGGGGGAGCAGAGGGGGAGAAAGAAAAGCAGGGGAAUAGAGGAGUAUUUGAGGGGUAGCACUAUUGUCAUUGUUAAAUAGCUAAAGGAAAAUGGAGGACUCUGGCUUUGAGUCAUGAAAGGAGGUGGAAUUGUGUUUUUCCUUUGGUGUAUUAGACUCCCAAAUGAAGUGCUGAGUGCACACACAUAUUCACACAACAAACCCUAAAAUACACCUGCCCUGUGAAGGACAUAUUAACAGGGAUGCCAUCACCACUUUGGCUCUGUAACCAUGGUUACCAUGGCCUCUAGCUGUUGAGCAUCAGCAGAACCCUUUUCCCCACCUUCUUUCUCCUGCUGACUUCCUGCUCUCUACCUCUCUACCUCUACCUCUCUCUACCCCUCUCUCUACCUCUCUCUACCUCUCUACCUCUACCUCUCUACCUCUACCUCUCUACCUCUACCUCUACCUCUCUCUCUACCUCUCUCUACCUCUCUCUACCUCUCUACCUCUACCUCUCUCUACCUCUACCUCUCUCUACCUCUCUCUACCCCUCUCUCUACCUCUCUCUCUACCUCUCUCUACUCUCUCUCUACCUCUCUCUCUACCUCUCUCUCUACCUCUCUCUCUACCUCUCUCUCCCUCUCUCUCUACCUCUCUCUCUCCCUCUCUCUACCUCUCUCUCCCUCUCUCUCUCUACCUCUCUCUCUACCUCUCUCUCUACCUCUCUCUCCCUCUCUCUCUCUACCUCUCUCUCUCUACCUCUCUACCUCUCUCUACCUCUCUACCUCUCUACCUCUACCUCUCUCUCUACCUCUCUACCUCUCUACCUCUCUACCUCUACCUCUCUCUCUACCUCUCUCUCUACCUCUCUCUACCUCUCUACCUCUCUCUCUACCUCUCUACCUCUCUACCUCUCUCUCUCUACCUCUCUCUCUCUACCUCUCUACCUCUCUACCUCUCUACCUCUACCUCUCUCUCUACCUCUCUCUCUCUACCUCUCUCUCUCUACCUCUCUACCUCUCUACCUCUACCUCUCUCUCUACCUCUCUACCUCUCUACCUCUCUACCUCUACCUCUCUCUCUCUACCUCUCUACCUCUCUACCUCUACCUCUCUCUCUCUACCUCUCUCUCUCUACUCUCUCUCUCUACCUCUCUCUCUACCUCUCUCUCUCUCCUCUCUCUCUACCUCUCUCUCUCCCUCUCUCUCUCUCCCUCUCUCUCUCUACCUCUCUCUCUCUACCUCUCUCUCCCUCUCUCUACCUCUCUCUCUCUACUCUCUCUCUCUCCUCUCUCUACCUCUCUCUCUCUACCUCUCUCUACCUCUCUCUCUCUCCUCUCUCUCUACCUCUCUCUCUCUACUCUCUCUCCCUCUCUCUCCCUCUCUCUCUACCUCUCUCUCUCUCUCUACCUCUCUCUCCCUCUCUCUCUCUACCUCUCUCCCUCUCUCUCUCUACCUCUCUCGCUUUCAUCUCGUUCUCUCUCUCUUUCUAGUCUCUCUGUCUCCUUCCUUUUCCAACUCUUCCUUUUCCAACUCUCAGUUUUCAUUCCUUUCGACCCUCUCUCUUCCUCACUCCCUCUCACUGCCCCCCCCCCCCUUCCCCAGGUCCCAGUCUGUC
rnacentral:lncRNA from 8 species